rnacentral:ncRNA from 2 species
AAUCUUGGAAUACAACUUGUUUGUCCUCGUAAAGAGGAAGGGAAUCCGGUUGUAGUCCGGAGCUGAACCCGCAGCUGUAAUCACCAACCAAAAUUUCGCAAAAUACCACUGCUUUAAACGCGGGAAGGAUGCAAAAUCGGCGAGAGCCAGAAGACCUAACAAGUUGAGCAAACUGAC